CCUACGGGGUGCUGCAGUGGGGAAUAUUGCACAAUGGGCGCAAGCCUGAUGCAGCCAUGCCGCGUGUGUGAAGAAGGCCUUCGGGUUGUAAAGCACUUUCAGCGGGGAGGAAGGCGUUAAGGUUAAUAACCUUGUCGAUUGACGUUACCCGCAGAAGAAGCACCGGCUAACUCCGUGCCAGCAGCCGCGGUAAUACGGAGGGUGCGAGCGUGAAUCGGAAUUACUGGGCGUAAAGCGCACGCAGGCGGUCUGUCAAGUCGGAUGUGAAAUCCCCGGGCUCAACCUGGGAACUGCAUUCGAAACUGGCAGGCUAGAGUCUUGUAGAGGGGGGUAGAAUUCCAGGUGUAGCGGUGAAAUGCGUAGAGAUCUGGAGGAAUACCGGUGGCGAAGGCGGCCCCCUGGACAAAGACUGACGCUCAGGUGCGAAAGCGUGGGGAGCAAACAGGAUUAGAUACCCUGGUAGUC
rnacentral:rRNA from 1 species